rnacentral:lncRNA from 1 species
AAUACCCGGUGCUCUCGGGCUUUACAGGAAUGGACGCUGGGCCCUUUCUCAAUCUGUUUAUGUUGCUAUAAAGGAAUAGCCAAAGCUGGGUAAUUUAUAAAGAAAAGAGGUUUAAUUGGCUCAUGGUUCUGCAGGCUGCAGGGAGCAUGGUGCUGGUAUCUGCUACUGGGGAGAGCUUCAAGAAGUCCACUCAUGGCAGAAGGUGAAAUGGAACAGGCAUCACAUGGUCCAAGAUAAUAAAGCAUGGAGCAGAUGUAGGGAUCAAGCAGAGCCACAUUCCUGCAUGAGCCGGACUUCCAGAAGGUGCUUGGCUGAGCUGGAGGCUCUCGUCCCAUCAUCCUUUUCCUCCUCACUCUGAACAAAGUUCCAUGCACGGAAGAGGGUUUCCCAGCUUCCAUGGGUCCUUUUUCUUUCCCUCUGCAGGUCCCCUCUUCCCCACUUACUGUUUAAACUCUUUACUCCAUUCCUUCUCAAAAUAAAGGCCAUUUAGUGAGAACUUCCUCAGUUUUUCUUUCUUUUCAUCUCAAUGCUGGCCCUCAGCAAUACUUAUGUAGGUAGACCAGCCUUCCCAGGGCAAGUUUUUUUUUUAAAAAAAAAAACCUCUGUGGUUUUAUCUGAAUUGUUUUUGUUCGAGGUUUAAAUGGAUCCAUUGAUUUUUCUGACCUAUUCAGAAACUUCGCUAUUUUUAAAUUAAAGAGGGAUGUGCCAAGUAAUAGCAAGCCAGCAAGCCAAAACCACUUCCAUUGGUGAAAAUCACCUUCAAGAAGGACAGACUGACUUUCAGAGGCCCGGCAAAGUUGUAGGAGGGGCUCCAGUCUGAGGGCAGGCGGUCUGGAGGCUCAGUUGUUUAAAGCCCAGCCCCUGAUGGGUGACCCUGCACUUCACUGACCUUCUCUGUACCAUGAGGGGGUUGGUCAGGGAUUUCAAGCCAAUUUCUAACUUUGACGACUCACCUGGGUCUCCUGAGCUUAGGGUCACUGGAUCCCUGCAACAGGAAAGCCCCAGAGCAUGAGUCACAUGUGAUGGCCUCAAUGGGCCUGCCUGUGUCCCUAUACAAGACAAUCACCUUGCCUGUCUGGGUAGGGCAUGCAUUGUGAGGUGCAAUUUAUAGGAAUGGGAGGAAAUUAGAGAAGUGUCUCUUUCUCAGUUUUAUAAAGACUCUAAAUGAGCCAGCCUCUCACUUCCACCUACCAGACC